rnacentral:rRNA from 1 species
GACGAACGCUGGCGGCGUGCCUAAUACAUGCAAGUAGAACGCUGAAGAGAGGAGCUUGCUCUUCUUGGAUGAGUUGCGAACGGGUGAGUAACGCGUAGGUAACCUGCCCUGUAGCGGGGGAUAACUAUUGGAAACGAUAGCUAAUACCGCAUAACAAUGGAUGACCCAUGUCAUUUAUUUGAAAGGGGCAAAUGCUCCACUACAAGAUGGACCUGCGUUGUAUUAGCUAGUAGGUGAGGUAACGGCUCACCUAGGCGACGAUACAUAGCCGACCUGAGAGGGUGAUCGGCCACACUGGGACUGAGACACGGCCCAGACUCCUACGGGAGGCAGCAGUAGGGAAUCUUCGGCAAUGGGGGCAACCCUGACCGAGCAACGCCGCGUGAGUGAAGAAGGUUUUCGGAUCGUAAAGCUCUGUUGUAAGUCAAGAACGAGUGUGAGAGUGGAAAGUUCACACUGUGACGGUAGCUUACCAGAAAGGGACGGCUAACUACGUG